rnacentral:sRNA from 1 species
GGCAUCUUGGCGCCGCAGCCGCCGCCGCCGCAGCACCAGGAGAGGCCGGGGGCCGCAGCCAUCGGCAGCGCCAGGGGACAGAGCACAGGAAAGGGACCCCCACAGUCACCUGUGUUUGAAGGCGUCUACAACAAUUCCAGAAUGCUGCAUUUCCUUACAGCUGUUGUGGGCUCCACUUGUGAUGUAAAGGUGAAAAAUGGUACCACUUAUGAGGGUAUCUUCAAGACGCUAAGCUCAAAGUUUGAACUAGCCGUGGAUGCUGUGCACCGGAAAGCAUCUGAGCCAGCAGGUGGCCCUCGUCGGGAAGACAUUGUGGACACCAUGGUGUUUAAGCCAAGUGAUGUCAUGCUUGUUCACUUCCGAAAUGUUGACUUCAAUUACGCUACUAAAGGUAUUGUCCUAGGCUGUUACCUCAGACCUGCUCUGUGUGCAUAGAGGACAGAGGGUAGUUUGUGUGCAAGUGGAACAUGGUGCUGUGUUUGGUUUGUUUUUUGUUUUUGUUUGUUUGUUUUGCCUUAAUGCCUUUUUUUUCUGAGCGAGGUGGGUGGAUUUUUCUUCUUAAAAAUAUGUCUUGAUGUCUAAUAUAUAAUGGGAUGAAUUCCUG